AAGACGGGCUGCAGGACGUAGCUGGAGAACGUGAGCGCGAUGACGGCCAGCGUGGUCGGGUACAUGAUGAGGACGGCGCUCCACAACAGCAGGAACCUGAACCAGACAGACGGAUCAACCACCGAAUAUCUCCGUCACGUAGGAGUAGUCUCCUCCAGAUUUGGGGAUGGUGACGCCCAGUUCAGCGUAGCAGAGCGAGCCCAAGGCAGCGAUGCAGCCUCCCAGAACCCAAACCACCAGCGCCAGACCCACUGAGCCCGAGUGCUCCAGGACCCCCUUUGGAGAGAUGAAGAUCCCAGAGCCGAUGAUGUUUCCUGAGGAGAGAAAGGACGAAGGUCAGAGACUCUGUGGAGAUACAGAUCAACAAGACACCUUCAGGUUCUAAUGAGCGAACUGCUCCUUUAAAGCUUCAUGAUGGUUUACAGUCACUUACAGAAAAUACAUUUAAGUGCUGCUGCUGGUUCUUCUCAGUAGGAACCUGAGUUCUUUAGGAAGCAGCCGGGCCGACAGAACCUCGAGUCAGAACCAAACGGAGCUGAAGGAAACUGAUGGCCUCAAACACACCACAGCCCCAACUUAUGAUUGAUGAUCUAAGAUGUUCUGAUUGUUCUUGAUAUUACUACAGCUGUUUCCUUAACUUCCAACCUCACCGUAAUAUUUCUGUUUUAAUCUAGUUUUUAUUUUCCAUUAUUUCAUUCAAUCAGAAUUGAUUUCACUGUUGAUUUUAUUGUUUUGUACUUUGCUUCUGUGUUUGAAAUGUGAUUUAUCCGUGUGUCAACUUUCACUGUGAAAACUCAAAUGUUCAAUUUAGUUUUUACACUUCAUCUUUCAUCUUUCUUUGACUGUUAUUCUGCUUGUUUUUGUCUUUUAUUAUUUUAACUAUUUGUGUUAUUUCAUCUGUGUGCUUUAAUCUCUGAACUGUUUUUGUUCCCUAAAUAUCUCAUGUUUUAUUUUUAGAUCACUUGUAAAUGUCUGAAAGAUGCUUUACACACUUCUCAACAUUAGUUAAUGAUAUUAGGAAACAUGUGCAUGAAACACACAAAAUAAAAUUUCAGAUAUGUCGCAGAAUGAACAGAAUAUCCCAGUAUUCCUGAAUAAUCCUGAGCGGUGUAAGUAAAGUUUGACUGAGGCGAGGAA